UACGUAGGGGGGCAAGCGUUGUCCGGAAUCAUUGGGCGUAAAGCGCGUGUAGGCGGCCAGAAAAGUCCGCUGUGAAAUCUCGAGGCUCAACUUCGAGCUGUCGGUGGAAACUGUCUGGCUAGAGUCCGGAAGAGGAGAAUGGAAUUCCUGGUGUAGCGGUGAAAUGCGCAGAUAUCAGGAAGAACACCCGUGGCGAAGGCGGUUCUCUGGGACGGUACUGACGCUGAGGUGCGAAAGCGUGGGGAGCAAACAGG
rnacentral:rRNA from 1 species